rnacentral:rRNA from 1 species
GAUGAACGCUGGCGGCGUGCUUAACACAUGCAAGUCGAACGGUGAAGGCGGAGCUUGCUCUGCUGGAUCAGUGGCGAACGGGAGAGUAACACGUGAGCAAUCUGCCCCUGACUCUGGGAUAAGCGCUGGAAACGGCGUCUAAUACUGGAUACGAGCUGCGAAGGCAUCUUCAGCAGCUGGAAAGAAUUUCGGUCAGGGAUGAGCUCGCGGCCUAUCAGCUUGUUGGUGAGGUAAUGGCUCACCAAGGCGUCGACGGGUAGCCGGCCUGAGAGGGUGACCGGCCACACUGGGACUGAGACACGGCCCAGACUCCUACGGGAGGCAGCAGUGGGGAAUAUUGCACAAUGGGCGAAAGCCUGAUGCAGCAACGCCGCGUGAGGGACAACGGCCUUCGGGUUGUAAACCUCUUUUAGCAGGGAAGAAGCGAAAGUGACGGUACCUGCAGAAAAAGCGCCGGCUAACUACGUG